rnacentral:lncRNA from 1 species
CUUGGAGAAUGCUGAGAGCCUGUUUCCUCCUGGUGCUAGAAAAAGAGGUGUGGAGAAAGGAGGUUCAGCCGAGCUCACUAACUUGCUUACGAAGGUGAGAGGCACCAGGCGGUGGUGGUACACACCUUUAGUCCCAGCACUUGGGAGGCAGAGUAGUUCCACUCCCUGAUGGCUAAGCAGUCAAAUAUAUGAGCCUACGAAGACACCCCACCCCCACAGGCAGGGUCUCUCUGUGUAGUCCUGGCUAUCUUGGGAACUUGCUCUGCAAAUCAGCCUGGCCUUGAACUCACAGAGAUCUGCCUGCCUCUGCCUGCUGGGAUUAAAGGGUGGAAACCCAGGGCCUCAGCCAUGACAGGGCUUCUUUGUGUAGCAGACCUGGCUGUCCUGGAACUAGCUCUGUGGACCAGGCUAACCUCGAACUCACAGAGAUCUGCCUCCAGAGUGCUGGAACUAACGGUGUACGCUACCACCACCCAGCACAACACAGUUUCACCGGCUAAUAGCUGACUCCGAGUUUUUAUUAUUAAGGCCAAAGAGAAUUCGUGCUACAAGGAUUGGUUAUAACCUAUCUGGCAUAUCUAUUGACAGGCUGCUGGAACAUUGUGUGAACUAAGAGUAUACCCCUAGUGGGAAUGCAGGGAUAUGACAGGUGG